rnacentral:rRNA from 1 species
UACGUAGGUGACCAGCGUUGUCCGGAUUUAUUGGGCGUAAAGAGCGUGUAGGCGGCUUUACAGGUCCGUUGUGAAAACUCGAGGCUCAACCUCGAGACGCCGGUGGAAACCGUAAAGCUAGAGUCCGGAAGAGGAGAGUGGAAUUCCUGGUGUAGCGGUGAAAUGCGCAGAUAUCAGGAGGAACACCCGUGGCGAAGGCGGUGGUCUGGGCCGGAACUGACGCUGAGGAGCGAAAGCGUGGGGAGCGAACAGG